ACAGUUAUCAGGCGAGCAUCCAGAUGGCUCUAUUUGAGGCGUUGUAUGGUAGACCUUGUAGGUCUCCUGUUUGUUGGACUGAGGUAGGUGAGACAGCCGCCUUAGGACCCGACAUUAUACUCUAGACUACUGAGAAGAUUAAGUUGAUAAGACAGAGGUUACUUACAGCUCAGAGCCGACAGAAGAGCUAUGCGGAUAAGCGGAGACGACCGUUAUCCUUUAAGGUGGGAGACCACGUUUUUCUACGGGUUUCUCCACGGAAGGGAUUGAUGAGAUUUGGAAAAAGUGGCAAGUUGUCGCCACGAUUUAUUGGACCGUUUGAGAUUUUGGACUGAGUAGGAGAGGUUGCCUACAGGCUUGCUUUGCCACCACAGUUGGAUAGGGUCCACAAUAUUUUCCAUGUAUCGAUGUUACGGAAGUACGAACCGGAUCUAUCUCACAUUUUGAGUUGGGUAGAUGUGGAUAUUGAUGAGGAUGUUUCCUACGAGGAAGGACCAGUUCAGAUCCUUGACACUCAGCAGAUGGUGUUGAGGAACAAGACGAUACCAAUGGUGAAAGUCCUUUGGAGACACCACGGAGUCGAGGAAGCUACUUGGGAGCUUGAACAGGAGGUUCGUUCCAAGUAUCUAUAGUUGUUUUCUUCCUCAGGUAUGUCUUGAUUUCGGGGACGAAAUCUUUUAAAGUAGGGGAGAGUGUAAUGUUUGUGCCUUUAUAUAUAUAUGCCUGUGUGUGCAGUGUGUAUUAAAAGAAAAAAAAAAAAAGAAAGAGAAAAAGAAAUUAAAAAAAGAGAGGUGGGGCCCACGUCCCUUUUAAAUGAAUUAAGAGACCAAGUUAGUCUCUAUUCUUUUUCUCUCUCUUUCUCCCGACUGCUGCUCUCGGCUCCUUCUCUUUUCCUUUUUUCUUUUUUUUUCACUUCAAGCUUUAACCCUUGAUUACUCUCUCAAUCCUUGCCGGAUUUAGGUGCCGUUUGAGGCAAAACGACGAGUGUGACGAGCUCUACGUUCUAGUACCAGCAAUUCCAGUUUUGCUACCUUCCUUGGAGCUCGAAUUUGAGGACCCAUUUUCUAGGGUUUUGGUGCAAUCUUGAGGUCUUGGAAAAGAACCGGUGGACGACAACCCACCUCAAGCUUGAGCGAUACUAGAAGCUCACUUUUGUGUCUUUUGUAUAUCUCCCAUUAUUUUUGCAAAGCACUAAAAUUGUGAAGGUGUAUAUGUAUAUUUUGCAAAAACUUUGUCAUGUAAUGUAAUUAAGGUAUUUGAUGAUAUUUUGGAUGUGAAUUUGAUAACAUGUAAACCUUAUUGAUGAAUGGGGAGAGUAAUACUAGUUUGAAGUA